UACAAUAGAGUAAACUGCGUGACGCUCUACGAAAGAAGAUUAUCGGUUCGAAGCUAAGAGACUGCACCAGCAGAUAAUGAUAAUUUCCAGUUGAUAGAACAGGCUAUUUUUCUAUUAAAAGAUAAAUCAGUAGCUCUGCAAUAACUAGGAAUUAACGAUAAUUUAGCUCUAUUAAAAACAUCUUACGUGUACCUUAAUUUAAAAGAGAGAGUAUCGCAUAUUUAAAGCAUAUUUCUCCGUUACUACUCUGUAAUUACGAGGGGGUCUACGUCCGUGAAAGUAUCUUCAAUAGGCCUUAAUUGAAACAACAUUUGAAACGCAUUUUCUCCUGUUUUCCCCGUGAUCAUGAGAAAGCGGUAUCAAAAUUGUUUGGACCAGAGUGUCUUUAUCUCGACAUAAGAAAACAGACGUUUGGUCCAUCGUGAAUCGAUUAUAUGCACUUUACAGUGAUUCAUACAUCAUUUAUCUAACUUUCCAUUCGUGAAAGGAUCAAUGUUCCGUGAGUUUAUGCAACAGAGUACAGCGCAGAAUUGGUAAACGAUUUUCCUUCUGAAGUUGCGUAAAGCUGUGACAGAGGAAGAAGGAAAAAUAUGGAAAUGGUCCGAGAGCGUGGCCAGUGCCAAGACAUCGUCAUUUUCCCGAUUUCUCUACGUGAUUCGACAUGCUUCGAGUUAAACUUACGACGAGCACGGCCACUAUACUGCAAACGUGCGCGGUCCCUGAAAAAAGAAAGAAAACACCGACUUCAGUUUUGGGUUUCAUUCGGUGCGUGAAAAGUUGUGCAAGGGAGCGCGUGAACGUACUCUGUCAUUAAGCAGACGUAGUAAACUGUGAAAACUGGGCCGUCUGGUAAGGGAGUCAAUGCCGUGCGACAGACAAUCCCUUUUCCGACGAGUCAUUCUUACGGUCUUGAGGACAGAGUCACAUUGUCUUCGCGGUACAAGAAAAACAACAAUUAAUUAUGUGAAUAAAUGUUUCAGAAUCGCGUUAAAGCCUGAGAUAGAUCAGCGUGUUCAUGGUGAAAUGCAAAACAGUUGCAGGAGCAGCAGUUCCCUUGAGCUAAUUUUUUGUUACUUUACCUAUUCAAUUAUGAGAGAAUAUAAUCACACCGUCUUUGCAAUGUAAGGGAAAUGAUUGAUUAUGCAAAUAAAAGCUUCAGAGGUGCGUUAUAGCCGGAGGUAGAUCGGUACGGAUGAAUACGAAAUAGUUGCAAGGUCAAUGUCCUUGAACUGAUCUUUGACUCUAUUAUUGCGAGUGGGAGGAUACACUCGGCCAGGCACUAUUUUUAUCCGAUCUACCAUCGAUCCUAAGCAGCGCUCAAGCACGUCUUUUGCAAGGACGACGAGGUCGUGGUUCCGCGUGGUGUGUUUGAUAUCAGGCUGCUCCUGUUUCAGGAUACAGAUCACGCAGAACCGAUACCCUUCUGACAUUUCGUUAACAAGAUACGACACUUGCAUAAACGCGACCUGCUUUUCUAGGUAUACAUUUUAAUUUACACCUCAUCGUUUAAAAAAUAGUAAAGGAAGAAAGUUAAACAAACUAUAUCUAUACUUUUCUAAGUUACAGAUAUUUUUGCUUCCCUUCAUUCCGCAAAAGGAGAGAAAAAUCAACCUACUUUAAAACGUGGAUUUGCAUUCUUUUUUACUCAUCAAGAUGUUCUUGUUCUUUUCUAGGUCAAUGCUUAACGAGGCGCAAGCAUGCGAGUGUUACGAAGGUGAUCGCUGAUUCACCGUUUACCAAAAUAAAAAAAAAAAAAAAUGCGUACAGUGUUACAUCAUACGUACCACGGUACUUUCUUUUCGUGGCAUAUAAUUCGUAACUCAAUUAUUUCGAUCGCUACCAGCAAGCAGACGCGCUUCAACGUUACUUUUCCUUUCUGACAUUUGUCUGUGACAUUUGAACCAUCAUUCGUUCGCCGCGUAGCGUACAAUGAAAGCCACCAUAAAUUAACUUCUUGAUUAAUAUUAAUACAUAACGCUCGAAAUUUAAAAAUUAAUAUUCAAUAUGUAACGUUGUGCAAUGCUACUUAAAUGUAAUAUUUAAAAUAAUACGAGAAAAAUAUAUUCCUGCAGUUGUCAAACUCUAAAAAUACUUGUUACAACUAUAUCUUCCUUAAAAAUCUAAAGCACGAUUCUUCCGUCUUUCAGAAAAAUACCGAACAACUAAAUUCUUCUUUCCAACGAAGCGGUCCAGAACGUUAUAGAAAUUUAAUAUUAGCAAAGUUCUUCGAAUACAUUGAGCAUGGUAAUUUUGUAUCGUUAUAGCCAUUUAGAUGCUAUUGUUCUGUCAGCAGAAUAGCGUCAGCAGAGCGUCUAACAUUAUGAAUACAUAGCGUGUCUCAUCCCGCAUACCUUAACAAGUAUGCAGCGUGGGUUUCGUCUACAAUUUAUUGCUUUCGCGGCCCAAACGAGUCCCAACAUGCUCGAGGUGUUCACUGCCCAACGCAGUAUCUGGACUUUUGUCCAAUUGGUUUGUGCGAACAGAUCAGUUUAUAAGGAAA